UACGUAGGGACCAAGCGUUGUUCGGAUUUACUGGGCGUAAAGGGCGCGUAGGCGGCAAUUCAAGUCAUCUGUGAAAUCUCCGGGCUUAACCCGGAACGGUCAGAUGAUACUGCUUUGCUAGAGUGCGGAAGGGGCAAUCGGAAUUCUUGGUGUAGCGGUGAAAUGCGUAGAUAUCAAGAGGAACACCUGAGGUGAAGACGGGUUGCUGGGCCGACACUGACGCUGACAGCGCGAAAGCUAGGGGAGCGAACGGG
rnacentral:rRNA from 1 species